rnacentral:rRNA from 1 species
UACAGAGGGCCCGAGCGUUGUUCGGAUUUAUUGGGCGUAAAGGGUGCGUAGGCGGCGGGGUAAGUUGGGUGUGAAAUCCCGGGGCUCAACCUCGGAAUUGCAUUCAAUACUGCUUCGCUCGAGUACUGGAGAGGAGGCUGGAAUUUACGGUGUAGCAGUGAAAUGCGUAGAUAUCGGAAGGAAGGCCGGUGGCGAAAGCGAGCCUCUGGACAGUUACUGACGCUGAUGCACGACGGCCAGGGGAGCAAACGGG